UCCCUCCUCGUGCCAUGGAGAGGAGCUCCCUCUUCCUCGCCGCCCUUCGGCUCGUCAUCGCUCCGGCCUCGCUCCUCCUCGACGACGUCAUCAUCGCCAAGCUCCUCCGUCCUCCAUCUCCUGCGACCUCGCGUCGUCCUGCAACCCUCUGUCGUGCCUCCGCGCGCCCAACCUCCGUCCCGCGCCCGCAACCAUGCUCUGGAUCGAGAGGAGCUCGAUCCCAAGCGCCUUCAGCCCGUCCGACCUCCUCUGCCUCGCUGGCUUCCAGCAUUGACCGAGCACCUCCAUCCCCAUGGUGCUGCGACCCCAUCACUAUUCCUGCUGGCCAUCGCCGAGUUACCACAGGACCCGUGGAGUCAUGCACGGGAAAACCAAGUCUGAAGACUACCGUGGACGUGUAUCUCGCCCAGUACCACUACCGUUCCUCAAGACCGCCAAGUUCGACUAAAUGAUGACGCGUCAAGUACCUCUACCGCGUCUACGGGAUCGCCAAGAACAAGUACCUACAAGUACCUCGACGACCUACCAAGUACCCCUUCGGAUCGCCAAGUUCAUCUACCACGUGUGCCACUACCGUCGACCUGAACAUCUACGAAAAUGUGUACAACUACCGUUGCCGUGAUUUCGACAAGACGUCAUGUACCUCUAGUUCCACUA